CCAGACUCCUACGGGAGGCAGCAGUGGGGAAUAUUGCACAAUGGGGGAAACCCUGAUGCAGCAACGCCGCGUGAGUGAAGAAGCGCCUCGGCGCGUAAAGCCCUGUCAGCAGGGAAGAAAAUGACGGUACCUGAAGAAGAAGCCCCGGCUAACUACGUGCCAGCAGCCGCGGUAAUACGUAGGGGGCUAGCGUUAUCCGGAAUUACUGGGCGUAAAGGGUGCGUAGGUGGUUUCUUAAGUCAGAGGUGAAAGGCUACGGCUCAACCGUAGUAAGCCUUUGAAACUGGGGAACUUGAGUGCAGGAGAGGAGAGUGGAAUUCCUAGUGUAGCGGUGAAAUGCGUAGAUAUUAGGAGGAACACCAGUUGCGAAGGCGGCUCUCUGGACUGUAACUGACACUGAGGCACGAAAGCGUGGGGAGCAAACAGGAUUAGAUACCCCAGUAC
rnacentral:rRNA from 1 species